UCAAUUAGCUGUGUCAUCUCUCUGCCUUGGGUCUUGCAGGUACCAGUGGGAUGUUGAUGGCCCCUACAAAGAAAUGGCUUGCUCAGUCAGCAGCAACCCCCCACCAGUCCAGAUACUGACAGUUUGGUGGGAGUCAGAUUUAGGAAGUUUGGGAGGACAAUCUGAUGAGCACUGCCUUGUGACAACUCUGCAGCUGGCUGAAGAAGAAACUCCCCAGGUUGCUGACGUUCAGAGGGCUGCUGGACACCAGAUGUUCCAGAGGAUUCCCAGCUGAGAAGUAAACGGAUGGUCCUGUUGGCUGAACAGCAUCAUCACAAGCUGCAAAGGUACACAGGGAGGACAUUACUACAGUCAUAUGGAUCUGACGAGAAAAAGAAAUCUAGGAGGGAAGGAUCCACUGCCAUUGUUACAUCAUGAUGAGCCACUGCUGCCAUAAGGUUUUUCCCGCUUGGGUCCCAUGAAUUCGAGUCCUUCAAUUGGGAUUUCUUUUUCCUUGAUAGCUUUCUGUAAUUAAAAUAAAUUCACUCUCAUUAAUGAGCACCAGUUACAUUGGAAACCCUGAAGUCAUUUGCAUAGACAGUUAUUUAAAAACAAAUAAAGAAACAGAACAAAAAAUUUAUUUGAUACUUUCUUCAGUAAAUGGUAACAAUAAAACCUUGACUCUCU